rnacentral:rRNA from 1 species
CCUACGGGAGACUGCAGUGGGGCAUAUUGGGCACUGGGCGCAAGCCUGACCCAGCAACGCCGCGUGAAGGCAGAAGGCUUUCGGGUUGUAAACUUCUUUUGACAGGGAAGGGUAGCAGACGGUACCUGUCGAAUAAGCCACGGCUAACUACGUGCCAGCAGCCGCGGUAAUACGUAGGUGGCCAGCGUUGUCCGGCUUUACUGGGUGUAAAGGGCGUGUAGCCGGGUUGACAAGUGAGAUGUGAAAUCCUGUGGCUUAACCGCAGAACUGCAUUUGAAACUGUUGAUCUUGAGUACUGGAGAGGCAGACGGAAUGCCUAGUGUAGCGGUGAAAUGCGUAGAUAUUAGGAGGAACACCAGUGGCGAAGGCGGUCUGCUGGACAGCAACUGACGGUGAGGCGCGAAAGCGUGGGGAGCAAACAGGAUUAGAUACCCUUGUAGUC